rnacentral:rRNA from 1 species
CUACGGGAGGCAGCAGUGAGGAAUAUUGGGCAAUGGGGGAAACCCUGACCCAGCAAUGCCGCGUGGAGGAAGAAGGUUUUCGGAUCGUAAACUCCUGUCAGGUGGGACGAAAAGCCGUCGGUGAAUAGCCGGCGGUCAUGACUGUACCAUCAGAGGAAGCCCCGGCUAACUCCGUGCCAGCAGCCGCGGUAAUACGGGGGGGGCGAGCGUUAUUCGGAAUUAUUGGGCGUAAAGGGCGCGUAGGCGGCAUGGCAAGUCAAAGGUGAAAUCCCUCGGCUCAACCGGGGAACUGCCUCUGAAACUGCCAAGCUCGAGGCCGGGAGGGGGUGGCGGAAUUCCCAGUGUAGCGGUGAAAUGCGUAGAUAUUGGGAGGAACACCAGUGGCGAAGGCGGCCACCUGGACCGGUGCUGACGCUGAUGCGCGAAAGCGUGGGGAGCAAACAGGAUUAGAAACCCUGGUAGUCC